rnacentral:rRNA from 1 species
UACGUAGGCAGCGAGCGUUGUUCGGAAUUACUGGGCGUAAAGUGUGCGCAGGCGGCUUCGCAAGUCGAGUGUGAAAUCCCCAGGCUCAACUUGGGAACUGCAUCCGAUACUGGAUGGCUUGAAUUCGGGAGAGGGAUGUGGAAUUCCAGGUGUAGCGGUGAAAUGCGUAGAUAUCAGGAGGAACACCGGUGGCGAAGGCGGCUUUCUGGACAGAAACUGACGCUGAUGCGCGAAAGCUAGGGGAGCAAACAGG